GUGGGCGUAGCUCAAUGGUAGAGCCCCGGAUUGUGGAUCCGGCUGUUGUGGGUUCGAGUCCCAUCGCUCACCCCA
rnacentral:tRNA from 2 species